rfam:Phaseolus vulgaris cultivar G19833 chromosome 6, whole genome shotgun sequence.
AGGUGCGAUCAUACCAGCACUAAUGCACCGGAUCCCAUCAGAACUCCGCAGCUAAGCUCGCUCGGACGAGAGUAGUACUAGGAUGGGUGACCUCCUGGGAAGUCCUCGUGUUGCACUUC